GCUGAAUUGAUUUUAAAAAUGCAUGAGUUAACUAAGGAAAACAUUGAGCGUAUGAAUGCUAAAUAUAAACUUGCUGGAGAUAAGGGUAGAAAACAUGUUGUGUUUGCACCUGGAGAUCUUGUUUGGUUACAUUUGCGUAAGGAUAGAUUUCCUGAUUUGCGCAAAUCAAAGCUAAUGCCACGUGUUGAUGGUCCCUUUAAGGUGUUAGAGAAAAUAAAUGAUAAUGCAUAUAAACUUGAGCUGCCUGCAGAUUUUGGGGUUAGUCCCACUUUUAACAUUGCAGAUUUGAAGCCUUAUUUGGGUGAGGAAGAUGAGUUUCCGUCGAGGACGACUUCAUUUCAAGAAGGGGAGGAUGAUGAGGACAUCAAUACCAUUGUUACACCCACAGCCCCUACUGCUACAUAUACGGGACCAAUUACUAGAGCUCGCGCACGCCAAUUA
rnacentral:rRNA from 1 species